GUAGGCUCCUGCGCCUUUCCAGCGGUGUGCUCCACUGGCUGCCUGCAUCCUGGGGCUCAAGUGCUGUCGGGACUGCAAGGGAAAUGCUGGGUAGGGCAGUGGGCUUCGAGCAGCCCCCAAUGGGUGACAGGUCUCUCUGCUAGAUACCACAAGGAACCCGAGGCCCGGCGAGGAGAACGGCAAAGGGAGGUGAUGCAGCGUGACAUAGCAGCCGGCGACUUCAUCGAGCAUGCCGAGUUCUCGGGGAACCUGUAUGGCACGAGCAAGGCGGCGGUGCAGGCCGUGCAGGCCAUGAACCGCAUCUGCGUGCUGGACGUGGACCUGCAGGGUGUGCGGAACAUCAAGGCCACCGAUCUGCGGCCCAUCUACAUCUCUGUGCAGCCGCCUUCACUGCAUGUGCUGGUGUGUGCUGGGCAGGGUUGGGGGCUGGGGGCCAGGGCAUGCCAGGCUCUGAUUGCCACCCCCUUUUUAGGAGCAGCGGCUGCGGCGGCGCAACACUGAAACGGAGGAGAGCCUGGCGAAGCGGCUGGCUGCUGCCCAGGCCGACAUGGAGAGCAGCAAGGAGCCUGGCCUGUUUGAUGUGGUCAUCGUUAAUGACAGCCUGGACCAGGCCUACGCAGAGCUGAAGGAGGCGCUCUCUGAGGAAAUCAAGAAAGCUCAAAGGACCGGCGCCUGAGGCUUGCUCUCUGUUCUCGGCACCCCG
rnacentral:sRNA from 1 species